UAGGGAAUUUUUCACAAUGAGCGAAAGCUUGAUGGAGCAAUGCCGCGUGAACGAUGAAGGUCUUUAAGAUUGUAAAGUUCUUUUAUUUGGGAAGAAUGACUUUAGCAGGUAAUGGCUAGAGUUUGACUGUACCAUUUUGAAUAAGUGACGACUAACUAUGUGCCAGCAGUCGCGGUAAUACAUAGGUCGCAAGCGUUAUCCGGAUUUAUUGGGCGUAAAGCAAGCGCAGGCGGAUUGAAAAGUCUGGUGUUAAAGGCAGCUGCUUAACAGUUGUAUGCAUUGGAAACUAUUAAUCUAGAGUGUGGUAGGGAGUUUUGGAAUUUCAUGUGGAGCGGUGAAAUGCGUAGAUAUAUGAAGGAACACCAGUGGCGAAGGCGAAAACUUAGGCCAUUACUGACGCUUAGGCUUGAAAGUGUGGGGAGCAAAUAGGAUUAGAUACCCUAGUAGUCCACACCGUAACCGAUAGAUACUAGCUGUCGGGGCGAUCCCCUCGGUAGUGAAGUUAACACAUUAAGUAUCUCGCCUGGGUAGUACAUUCGCAAGAAUG
rnacentral:rRNA from 1 species